GUACUCAUAAGUACAAUCCCAUCAUCACACUCUUACAUGCAUGAACACAAAAGGCAGCAGAUCCCUACAGGUGUGUUCUGAUCUGAAUUAUCUGAUUCAACAUAAGAUGGUGAACUACUGAACUACAUGUCCUGACCUGAUGACGACGUACAUAGCAUGCAUGCGUCAAGCAAGGUGUUACAGGUAUAAUUACAGUAUACACAGAUGCAAAUAUAUAUGUACUGUAGUAUACAUAGAACGUACGAAACAGAUGCAACGAAAGACGAACCUAGCCUUUUGAAAUCGUAGCUAGUAGACAGAAAAAUAAAGCUAACUGAUUGAUUAAUAUAAGGCAGAAGAAGAUGCAUGGUGGAUGAUCUGAUAUAUAAGCAUGGCUGAUGGCUCAUCAAGAGGCGUCGAGCAUCUUCUUGUAGUACUCUUCGUCGUCGAUCCUCCAGAGCGAGUAAUCCGAGCAGUAUUCCCACACCGGCGACGACGGCAUCACCGGCGGCUCGGCGGCGGCGGGGUGACACGCUCCUACCCAGCCGUCGACCAUGUAGCUCGCCGCCGCCUCGGCUGCCGCGAUCUCGUUCCAGAACUGGUCCAUGGUGUAGGACGACGCUUCCUGCUGCUGCUGCUGCUGGUGGUGGUGAUGCUGGCUUGCCGCGGUGGUGGACGCCUCGUCGAGCUCGGCGUCGUCCUCUGCGCCGCCGCCGCCGCCGCUCUCUCGCAGCGCUGAACCGGUGACCGCCGACGACGACGCGGCCGUGCCGCAGCCGCUGCUCGGAGAGCCGGAGCAGGACGCGGUGGUGGUGGUCACGGUCGACGACGAGGACACCGAUGCCGCCGACGCCGCCGUCUUCGCUGCCUUCUGCUUCCUGGUGCGCGUCCUCCAGUAGUUCUUGAUCUCGUUGUCGGUGCGGCCGGGGAGGCUCCUGGCGAUGCGCGACCACCUGCUGCCGUACUGCGCGUGGAGCUCGAGGAUGAGGCGCUCCUCGUCGGCGGUGAUGCGGCCGCGGCGGAGGCCCGGGUGGAGGUAGUUGACCCACCGGAGACGGCAGCUCUUGCCGGUGCGCCUCAGACCUGCAGUACGCCGACACGCAUGCAUAGAGAAGAAAGCAGGGAGAAGGAGAAGAGGAAGCAAAUGGUUCACACCGGUCGUCUCUGCCCAUCCUAAGAUCAAUCCCCAAGAAUGGAUGCAUACAUAUAAAUAUAUAUAUAUUUAUAUACAUACGCAUGCUUGGGGAUGCACCCGCCACCGCCCCAACCUGAAACCUUUGCUAAGAAAUCCCACCGGCGUUCACCAAACAAGCGCACGAACCAUACCAGCUGGGCGUCUUCCUCCUCCGUCCACGGCCCCUUCCUCAUCCCCGCCUGCUUACUGCCACCACCACCACUACUACUACGCUCACCGUCCUUCUUCUGCUUGUUCCUGCAACACAUGGACAUGGUUGCUGCCGCCAUCGAUCGGUGAUCCAUCACCUCCUCUUCUUUACUUCUUCCUCCUGCUGCUGCAGCCCCGGCCAGGCGUGUGGUUUCCUCCUCCUCGUCGUCGGCUCCUCCCUUCGAAUUGUCCCCGUCGAUCGACGACUUGGGCUUAAUAGGGAAUAGGGCGCCGGACAGAGACAAAGGCCGUCCCAACAGAGCUUAGCUUGGAUCAAUCGAAAGGAAGAAGAAAGAGACUGCAGAUAGAUGCCUCCACUUGUGUACGAUCUAGAUUCUAGCUAGCUGUGUAUGAUGAAUACAC
rnacentral:lncRNA from 1 species